rnacentral:rRNA from 1 species
CCUACGGGAGGCAGCAGUGAGGAAUAUUGGUCAAUGGACGAGAGUCUGAACCAGCCAAGUAGCGUGAAGGAUGACUGCCCUAUGGGUUGUAAACUUCUUUUAUAAAGGAAUAAAACGAGGCACGUGUGCCUUUUUGCAUGUACUUUAUGAAUAAGGAUCGGCUAACUCUGUGCCAGCAGCCGCGGUAAUACGGAGGAUCCGAGCGUUAUCCGGAUUUAUUGGGUUUAAAGGGAGCGUAGAUGGGUUGUUAAGUCAGUUGUGAAAGUUUGCGGCUCAACCGUAAAAUUGCAAUUGAUACUGGCAGUCUAGAGUACAGUUGAGGUAGGCGGAAUUCGUGGUGUAGCGGUGAAAUGCUUAGAUAUCACGAAGAACCCCGAUUGCGAAGGCAGCUUACUAAACUGUGACUGACAUUGAUGCUCGAAAGUGUGGGUAUCAAACAGGAUUAGAUACCCGGGUAGUC